UACCAAACCCGGAGCCCUUUCAAAGUGACAGCAUUGAAGAGGAAGGCAAGAAUCCAAGUAGAUUUCGGACAGCGGAGAGAAAAGUCGGUUUUAUCACCACAAGUUCAAAAACGUAGAUCGUCCCGCGAUCCGUACGAAAAGCGAUAUCUUUUGUGAAUAUUUAGUGCAUAAUAUUGAACAAUUCGAAUGCAAAUAUGGCCCUGAAUCCACAAUAUGAGGAGAUCGGAAAAGGAUUCGUCCAGCAAUAUUAUGCGAUGUUCGACGACCCAGCGCUGCGGGCCAAUCUAGUUAAUUUGUAUAGUGCAAAUGAUUCGUUUAUGACAUUUGAAGGACUGCAAAUCCAGGGGGCACCAAAAAUAUUGGAAAAACUACAGAGUUUAACAUUUCAAAAAAUCAAUAGAGUAAUCACAGCCGUAGACUCUCAGCCAACGUUCGACGGAGGCGUUCUAAUAAAUGUCCUAGGAAGACUACAAACAGAUGACGACCAGCCACACGCGUACACACAGACGUUCGUGCUGAAGUCGCUAGGCUCAAUAUUUUUCAUUCAGCACGAUAUCUUCCGGCUGUCGCUGCAUGAUGUAUAGUCAGGCGAUCCCGUCCGGAUGAUGCCAGCGCUAUCCUGACACAAAACGUCUAACGUCUGUAUUGUUGAAGUAGGAGUGCGACGAAGAUCCUCCACAUGCUUUCUCGCAAAUUUUCGUCCUGAAACCGUUAGGAACAUCAUUCUUCUGUGCCCACGACAUCUUCCGUUUGAACAUUCACGACACCGCUUAGAGAAUAGACGAAACAACAUCCAAGCGACAUACAGUAAAGCAAACUAACAGCAACAGCAACCGCAGGAAGAACAGUAAAGCCGAAUAUAUCAAUCAUCAAACAUAUAUGCCUCUAUUUUUUCAUUCACUACAAGAUGAAGCUGAAAAGCAGUAAAUAUACAUAACAGAAGUACCGCCAGCUCUUAUUUUCUAUCAUGAUUUUACUCAGCAAGAUGAAAAGCUAAAGUUAGCGAUUGUAUUGACCUCUGAGACCAUCUGUUAAUUAUUGUAUUUAAGAUGUGCAUGCAAACUUUAAUAAAUGCAAGCGAAAAGGAACGUAGUUGCGAAGAAAGCAGGAAAAUUAUUAAUAAUUGUAGUACAGAGAACAGCGGCUGUAAUCAAUUAAAUUUUCUUUUUAUGAUAUUAUUUCAUUUACUUUGUGUGUUAUUCCUAUAAUUAUUGUUCUAGGUGAAAAUGGAGAUGUUUUUCCUUUUCCCUUUGAUUUUGAAUGAAGUAAAGCAAAACUAGAACUUUACAAACUAUAUUUAAUAUGAACAAGGAGCAUACCAAGCUGCUACAAACUCUAUUGCAAGUGAAACAUUUUAUUCUCAUUACGCUAACCGUUUUUUAUUAAAAAUAAAUGAAAGAGAAGCGAAACUUAUGGAAAAUA